rnacentral:lncRNA from 1 species
UCAAAGCUCUCCUUGGAUCAAAUCUCUACUUUCUCACUCUCUUGUUCUUGCUCAAGCUCUAGCUCUCGUUCAAGCUUUGUGUGGGAGUUGCUCUCAAGGUUGUGUGUUUUAGUUCUUCAACUUCUUCUUCCUCUCUUGUGUAUGCUGAGAGUGUGUUAGAAGAAAAAGAUCUACAUCUUGUAAGUGGUCCAAGUGUUGUGAAAGGUGUGUCUCAACAUCAACACUUGAUCGAAAGGUUAAACGAGUUCUACCAUAAAACUCGGUGUGGUUCUAUAGAGUUUCCAGAAAACUCUUAGGUUGAAUCUGCCUCAAAGGUUCAAGGGUUUUUAAGAGUUCCUUAAUACUCUUAGGUGGUUCACAAGCGUUUAGCCUUAAAGCUUGGCAAAGGUUUUUAAGAGUCCCUUAAUAUUUUUAGUGGGUUCACAAACGUUUAGCCUUAAAGCUUGGUAAAGGUUCUUAAGAGUUCCUUAAUACUCUUAGGUAGUUAACAAGCGUUUAGCCUUAAAGUUUGGCAGAGGUUUUUAAAGAGUUCCUUAAUACUCUUAAGUGGUUAACAAACGUUUAGCCUUAAAGCUUGGCAGAGGUUUUGCCAUUACCUUUAGGCUAGUGAUCUCCGUGUUUCAUCGGAACUGGAUUAGCCCUCGUUUGGGUGAACCGGUAUAAAAAUCUAUGUGUCUCUUUUUAUUUUCCGCUUUUCUAUUUUUAAAGUCAUAACAAGAUAAAAAAAGCAACUAAAAAGAGAUCUCUCAUCCAGUUAUCUGGUCAUAGAUUGAGGUUAACUAUUUUCUUGCAGAUCCCUCAUCCAUUUAUCUGGUCAUUGACUGAGGUUACUUUUUGUUCAAAUAUAUAUCCAGUUACUUGGUCACUUAUACUUAUAUAUAUUUUAACUUAUAUUAUUAUUUGUGUGCUUAUAAGAGAACUUAGUGUUCAUAUACUACAUUUGACUUAAAAAGCAUUAUUUAUCAAGUUAGAAUAUAUAUUCAGUUAUCUGUUCAUUUGUUUUUAAACGUGUAGUUAUAUAACUUGGUAUUCAUAUUCAUAUACUACAGUUAUAUAUAUAAAGCACAAUCUUAUAAGUGGACUCGGUAUCUAUAUACUGUAGUAAAUUUAGAAAGAAUAUACAAUCUUUUUAUAUAUCCUUCUCUCUAACUUGUAUUCUCAGGUAUUUCGCAAAUCUUUUGAAAAAUCACGAAAAGAGGCUAUUACCCCCCGCUAAGCCUCUGAUCAAGAUCCUACAAGCCCCUGGUAGAAGAUCCAGUGUUUCAUCAAAACCGAAUAUCCAGCAACAAGAAGAAAAGGAUUGAAUAAAGGAACUCCCAAGCAUUUAUGGAUCUUAGACGUGUCCCUAUCGAUGGAACGAGUAACUCAUUAAUUCGAUGAAUCAUUUCUUCUAAAAGAAACGGAAAAAGAUUCUAUAAACCCUUCUUCGAAAUCUCACUUAUCGGAGUCUGUAAUUUUUUCAAAUUGUUUCAAUAUUAAACCAGGUCGACACUGGAUAAAACAUGGAAACAUGGAGUCAACGGUAUAAAUGAGAGGAUAGUAACCCAAAAUAAAUAAAUAAAAACGAGAAAUUCUUCAUUUUGAGAAAUAAAAAUAGAAAUAGAUCCUUACCUUUUGAAUCGAU